AGGACGAACGCUGGCGGCGUGCCUAAUACAUGCAAGUCGAACGGUCUUUUCUAUGGAAGCUUGCUUCCACUGAGAAGAUAGUGGCGAACGGGUGAGUAACACGUGGGUAACCUGCCCAUAAGAGGGGGAUAACAUCCGGAAACGGGUGCUAAUACCGCAUAGUUUUCUUGAUCGCAUGAUCGGGAAAGGAAAGACGGCCUUUGUGCUGUCGCUUAUGGAUGGACCCGCGGCGUAUUAGUUAGUUGGUGAGGUAACGGCUCACCAAGACGAUGAUACGUAGCCGACCUGAGAGGGUGAUCGGCCACAUUGGGACUGAGACACGGCCCAAACUCCUACGGGAGGCAGCAGUAGGGAAUCUUCCGCAAUGGACGAAAGUCUGACGGAGCAACGCCGCGUGAGUGAAGAAAGGUUUUCGGAUCGUAAAACUCUGUUGUCAGAGAAGAACAAGUUGGAGAGUAACUGCUCCAGCCUUGACGGUAUCUGACCAGAAAGCCACGGCUAACUACGUGCCAGCAGCCGC
rnacentral:rRNA from 1 species